GAGAGAAUCGAAAAGUGAGAGCUCACCGAAAUCCUAAGUUCAUGAUAGACAUCUCCACUGUCAUGCAUCUCCAUCGCCGUCUCCUCCCCCAUCGCUGUCUCUGCCGCCGCUAGAGUUCAUCUCCUUUCUGCUUCUGCCAUAAAGCUAUUGAGAUCGAGCUAAUGCGCCUCCUUCAUCAAUGCGUUUCCAGAUCUCAUCGCAACGCCCAAGCAUUUGAGAUCGAGAGAAAGUGUCUCUUCGGUCAACUCUCUUCCGCCAAUGACGCUCAUGUUCUCCUUCGGCAUUCUAUCCCUUCUAUGCACUCUUCUUUCCAUUCAUUCUUAGUUUUUGGUUCUCCUUCUCUUUUUCUCGUUUUUUUUUCAUUUGCAGAUUUUUAAUGCUUUGCUAUGUGAUAUAACAUUCGAUUAGUUUUAUUAUCUCUUAAUGGAUAGCAUUGUUUCAAAUUCUCAAGCACUCCAAGUGUUUGAUGAAUUGUUUAUUCUCUUAAUUGAAAUUCUGAUAAAUUGAUUUGCUAGUUUUUAAAUUUUGAUUUCGGGACACUCUUUUAUUUUGAUACUAAUGUAUAUAUUUAAAAUCCUAAUAAAUUGAUUUUAUUUAGAAACAACAAUGUUGCAUGAAGGGUUUGUUAAAUCUCAAAUUGGCUACGUCUAUGAUCACAUUAAUAUAAAAAUAAAUUUACCUAAAAGCAAUAUAAAAAUGAAGUUACGUUAAUUGUUCUUUCAGAACCAAGGUUUAAAUUUCACUACCAGAGUCUAAAAUAUGUCAAAUGCCUUAGAAUGAUUAGUUUAGCCCCACACUUUUGAGUAUGGAGACACCUUGUGACUUGUGUGGGGAAAAUGUCAUUUCUUAAGUUGAACCACUUUUUUCAAUCAGAAGCUCAUUUGUGUAAGACCUUAAUUACUCAAGUAGAUAUGAGAAUUGAUGGCAUAUGCCUACUAUACUGUGUCUUCCAUAGUGAUUAAUAUAGUGCAAAUUUUCUUCAAUUAAGACUGUUGUGUGCAUAUGGUUACCAUGUCUUGUGUUUUAUACAAGUACCAUUUAACUCGUGAAUGCAUAAAACGUUAGUAUUUAGUUAUUUACUGGCUUGAUUUGUUAUUGUAUACCGGUUCUUCUCUUGGAAUGCAUCUUUCAUAAGCAUAAAUAUUUGAUUUGUAUGUAUUUUAAACUUUGAAGGCGUCAAAGAUUAAUUGAGAUUAUUGAAAAAAAAUAUGUUUUGUUUGCUGAUUAUCAUCAAUAUUAUUUUAUAUAUGCAAGUGAUCUCCCAGUUGUCAUAUCAUGUGCUAGCCUUGCCCUGGCUGAUGUUGGAAUAAUGAUGUAUGACCUCGUUGCAUCAGUUUCUGUGGAAAACUCCCAAGAUGGAAGCUUGAUGAUUACAUGCAUGCUUUCUCGUUAUGAAAUUACUCAACUUACAUUUACUAGGGAAUGAUCUACCCCAAAGAUUAACGAGCUUUGCUUCGAUGCUUAUGCAAAGCUUGCAAAGAUUAUGAGGCCGUGUUUGAAAGAAGCUGCUUCUGAUUCUCAAGAAUAGAAUGUGAGUUCCAAUUUUAGCACAAAAGUCACAAGAUGUGCUGUUAAAUUGUUCUAUUUUUUAUUUUUUUUAUCCGCUUAUUUUUUCUUUUUUUUUUUUUUAGUUUGAAGUGAAACUCUUACAUUAUAUAUUAAUUUUUCAAGCUUGUAUAACUAACUGUAGAAUGAAAGCAAUGUUUGAUGAUUUGGGAUAGGAAAUGCAAAUUCAUCCAAUAGUGGAAAGCAACCUUAAGUCAUUUGGCCUGUUGUUUUUGAAUCAAUAAUUCAAUAUAGCCAUUAGACUAUUUUGGGGAAAGAAAGAAUAAUGUUUCCUUGCCAUUUUGUACUAUAUUGACAAAGAUUUUGAGGGUACCUAGAUAAGUUGAAGUAGUGAAAGUUGUUUAAACACAAUGUCAAAAUAUUUUCUCCUUAAGAUUCUGGCUGUUAAAUAUUUAUAUUUUUCAAAAAACCAGGUGUUUUAUUUCUAAAAUUUGAUCUGUAUUAACGUAAUUGUAAAAUCAUGUCUUUUUUUUUUUGGCAAAUAAUGUAUUGUUUAGGAGGUGAGAGUAUUUAUGGGGUGUUUUUCCCUAUGAGUUUCAUUUCUGUCUGAAAUUCAAGCACAGAGGAUUGGUUGCAAUGGCCAAUGCUGGGCCACCUAAUUCAAAUAGGAGUCAGUUUUUCAUAACCCUUGACUGUUGUGAUUGGCUUUAUUAGAAGCAUACUAUUUUUGGAAAGGUAAAAGGAGAUACAAUGUAUAAUCUUUUAAGGCUAGGUGAAGUUGAAACUGAUAAAAAUGACCGGCCUUUAGAUCCACCUCCAAAGAUAUUAUCAGUUGAGGUAUUAUGGAACUCGUUUGAAGAUACUGUGCAAAGAAAUCUUCUGACUAAAGCUACACCUGAUACAGAAAAUAAAGGUUUAAAGACAAAGUGUGUGAAAAAAUUGAACUUGCUUUUGUUUGGGGACGAGGUUGGUGCGCGAAAUUUAGAACUCCGCACAACUUAACCGACAAGUGCACCGGAUCGUCCAAGUAAUACCUCAGGUGAUUGAGGGUUGAUCCCACGAGGAUUGUUGGAUUGAGCAAGCAGUGGUUAUCCUACAGAUCUUAGUCAGGCGAAUAGAAAGAGAUUGGUUGUUGUUGAAUGCGCAUAAACACUUAAAGAAAGCAAUAAAGAAAUAGCAGAGAAAUAAUAGUGAGAAAUCAGUUAAGGCUUUGGAGGUGCUUUAUCUUUCUGGAUUAACUUUUCUUACUGUCUACUAUAAUAGUGAAUGAUUCAUUCCAUGGCAAGGCUAUAAGUGAUUAAAGCCAGGGCCAGUGGUCAUUAAUCUCCUCUGAUUCAAAUCAAAUGACAGUGCCAGUGGUCAUUCAAUCUGAACAAGGGUGAAGCUCUAGCAAUUCAGCCUCUGAAGAUCCUACUCAAAAUGCCACAGACAAGGUCAAAUCUUCCAGAUCAGAGAAUGAAAUUCUAUGAUUCUAGCCUUAGCGCCACAGAAACCUCAAUUACCCAUGACUAACAGGAUUUUAUGUCACAUAUCCCAUUAGCCCAAAUAACUUGUUGGAACCUGUGAUGUAUUCUCAAGCUGCAGCUCAACGCUAUCCAGCUAGGACUCGCAAAGAACUCAUGUAAAACAAGGGGUCAUACUUUUGUUCCACCCCAGAUUCAUAAAGAUGAAGAACGAGAAUGCACAUAGAAGAGGAAUCAAACAUAUAUUGAAAUAGAAAUAGUAAUAUUAUUAAUC